rnacentral:rRNA from 1 species
GGUUAAGCGACUAAGCGUACACGGUGGAUGCCCUGGCAGUCAGAGGCGAUGAAGGGCGUGCUAAUCUGCGAUAAGCGCCGGUAAGGUGAUAUGAACCGUUAUAACCGGCGAUACCCGAAUGGGGAAACCCAGUGUGAUUCGUCACACUAUCAUUAACUGAAUCCAUAGGUUAAUGAGGCGAACCGGGGGAACUGAAACAUCUAAGUACCCCGAGGAAAAGAAAUCAACCGAGAUUCCCCCAGUAGCGGCGAGCGAACGGGGAGGAGCCCAGAGCCUGAAUCAGCAUGUGUGUUAGUGGAAGCGUCUGGAAAGGCGCGCGAUACAGGGUGACAGCCCCGUACACAAAAGCGCAUGUGCUGUGAGCUCGAUGAGUAGGGCGGGACACGUGGUAUCCUGUCUGAAUAUGGGGGGACCAUCCUCCAAGGCUAAAUACUCCUGACUGACCGAUAGUGAACCAGUACCGUGAGGGAAAGGCGAAAAGAACCCCGGCGAGGGGAGUGAAAAAGAACCUGAAACCGUGUACGUACA